CUCCGUUUCCCUGACGACCACCGGCAACCCAAUGGCGACGCGAACACCGCCCUUUUCGGUCGUUCCGUCCCGCCCCUUCCGCCUCAAGGCUCUGCGGUCUCUUUGGUCAGAAACCUCAGAGACUCCGCCCACUUCCUCCUUCGCAUUCUAACAACGCCCCUCGGCUAAAUGACAGAUAUGGGCGUGCCCUUUGUGGGCGGGGUCCGAGGUAGGCGGGGCGCCCACGUGGAACUCUCCCUGCAGUUCCCGAGGAAGAGUCCAGCUCCGCCUUUUGCAAAUCUAAAAGGUGACGCUGCUUGAGAACCUCCAAAUCGCAGGCUACGCCAACGCUGCAGUCACACAAAACCGUGUGAUGUGACAGGAUAAGAAGCGACUUGCCCGCCGGUCGUGGUGGCGCACGCCUGUCAUCCCAGCACUGGGAAAGCUCAGGCAGGAGGAUCCAGCGAGUUCGAGGCCAAGUAGGGCUACACAACAGGGUCUCCACAUACAGCUCAGCCUGGCCUUGAAUUCACUGUGUGCCCAGGCUGGCCUCGAAUUUGCAGUGAUCCUCCUGCCUCAGCCUCCUCCUGGGUGCUAAGGAUUACAGGUGUGUACCACCACGCCUGGAAGAAAUAUUUAAACUAAACCAAAUAAACUUGUGUCUUUCUUUUAUUUUAAA